UACGUAGGCAGCGAGCGUUUGUUCGGAGUUACUGGGCGUAAAGGGUGUGUAGGCGGUUGUUUAAGUUUGGUGUGAAAUCUCCCGCUUAACUGGGAGGGUGCGCCGAAUACUGAAUGACUAGAGUGCGGGAGAGGAAAAUGGAAUUCCUGGUGUAGCGGUGAAAUGCGUUGAUAUCAGGAGGAACACCCAUGGCGAAGGCAGGUUACUGGGCAUUAUCUGACGCUGAGGCGCGAAAGCGUGGGUAGCAAACAGG
rnacentral:rRNA from 1 species